rnacentral:rRNA from 1 species
GACGAACGCUGGCGGCGUGCUUAACACAUGCAAGUCGAACGGAAAGGCCCUGCUUUUGUAGGGUGCUCGAGUGGCGAACGGGUGAGUAACACGUGAGUAACCUGCCCUUGACUUUGGGAUAACUUCAGGAAACUGGGGCUAAUCCCGGAUAGGAGCUCCUGCUGCAUGGUGGGGGUUGGAAAGUUUCGGCGGUAGGGGAUGGACUCGCGGCUUAUCAGCUUGUUGGUGGGGUAGUGGCUUACCAAGGCAUUGACGGGUAGCCGGCCUGAGAGGGUGACCGGCCACAUUGGGACUGAGAUACGGCCCAGACGCCUACGGGAGGCAGCAGUGGGGAAUAUUGCACAAUGGGCGGAAGCCUGAGGCAGCAACGCCGCGUGCGGGAUGACGGCCUUCGGGUUGUAAACCGCUUUCGCCUGUGACGAAGCGUGAGUGACGGUAAUGGGUAAAGAAGCACCGGCUAACUACGUG